rnacentral:rRNA from 1 species
GCACCGGUUAAUUACGUGCCAGCAGCCGCGGUAUUACGUAGGGUGCGAGCGUUAAUCGGAAUUAUUUCGGCGUAAAGCGUGCGCAGGCGGUUUUGUAAGACAGAUGUGAAAUCCCCGGGCUCAACCUGGGAAUGGCGCUUGUGACUGCAAGGCUUGAGUGCGUCAGAGGGGGGUAGAAUUCCACGUGUAGCAGUGAAAUGCGUAGAGAUGUGGAGGAAUACCGAUGGCGAAGGCAGCUCUCUGGGACGAGACUGACGCUCAUGCUCGAAAGCGUGGGGAGCAAACAGGAUUAGAUACUUUUGUUUUUUUUACGCCCUAAACGAUGUCAACUAGUUGUUGGGGAUUCAUUUCCUCAGUAACGUAGCUAACGCGUGAUGUUGACUGCCUGUGGAGUACAGUAGCGAGAUGAUGACUCUCAGG